GCGGGUGUCGCCAAGUGGUAAGGCAACUGCCUUCCAAGCAGUGAUGCGUGGGUUCGAAUCCCAUCACCCGCU
rnacentral:tRNA from 1 species